rnacentral:rRNA from 1 species
ACUAACAAGGAUUCCCCUAGUAACUGCGAGUGAAGCGGGAAAAGCUCAAAUUUAAAAUCUGGCAGUCUUUGGCUGUCCGAGUUGUAAUCUAGAGAAGUAUUAUCCGCGCUGGACCGUGUACAAGUCUCCUGGAAUGGGGCGUCAUAGAGGGUGAGAAUCCCGUCUUUGACACGGACUGCCAGGGCUUUGUGAUGUGCUCUCAAAGAGUCGAGUUGUUUGGGAAUGCAGCUCAAAAUGGGUGGUAAAUUCCAUCUAAAGCUAAAUAUUGGCGAGAGACCGAUAGCGAACAAGUACCGUGAGGGAAAGAUGAAAAGAACUUUGGAAAGAGAGUUAAACAGUACGUGAAAUUGCUGAAAGGGAAACGCUUGAAGUCAGUCGCGUUGGCCAGGGAUCAACCUUGCUUUUUUGCUUGGCUUACUUUCUGGUCGAUGGGUCAGCAUCAAUUUUGACUGGUGGAAAAAGUUCAAGGGAAUGUGGCAUCUUCGGAUGUGUUAUAGCCUUUGUUCGCAUACAUCAGUUGGGAUUGAGGAACUCAGCACGCCGCAAGGCCGGGUUUUUAACCACGUACGUGCUUAGGAUGCUGGCAUAAUGGCUUUAAUCGACCCGUCUUGAAACACGGACCAAGGAGUCUAACAUGCCUGCGAGUGUUUGGGUGAAAAACCCGAGCGCGUAAUGAAAGUGAAAGUUGAGAUCCCUGUCGCGGGGAGCAUUGACGCCCGGAUCUGACCUUUUGUGACGAUUCUGCGGUAGAGCAUGUAUGUUGGGACCCGAAAGAUGGUGAACUAUGCCUGAAUAGGGUGAAGCCAGAGGAAACUCUGGUGGAGGCUCGUAGCGAUUCUGACGUGCAAAUCGAUCGUCAAAUUUGGGUAUAGGGGCGAAAGACUAAUCGAACCAUCUAGUAGCUGGUC